GACGUACGCUGGCGGCGUGCUUAACACAUGCAAGUCGAACGGAAAGGCCUGCUUUCCCUUGUGGAUUGCGGGUACUCGAGUGGCGAACGGGUGAGUAACACGUGAGUGAUCUGCCCCCAACUUGGGUAUAAGCCUGGGAAACUGGGUCUAAUUCCCGAUAGGACUGCAGGGUGGUGCCUGUGGUGGAAAACGAUUUUCUAGUGGUUGGGGAUGAGCUCGCGGCCUAUCAGCUUGUUGGUGGGGUAAUGGCCUACCAAGGCGGCGACGGGUAGCCGGCCUGAGAGGGUGGACGGCCACAUUGGGACUGAGAUACGGCCCAGACUCCUACGGGAGGCAGCAGUGGGGAAUAUUGCACAAUGGGCGGAAGCCUGAUGCAGCGACGCCGCGUGGGGGAUGACGGCCUUCGGGUUGUAAACUCCUUUCGACCGCGAGGAAGCCACCUGGUUGGAAGGGUGGUGACGGUAGUGGUAGAAGAAGCACCGGCUAACUGCGUG
rnacentral:rRNA from 1 species